ACGGCUUUCUACCAUACCAAGCCCUGCUCUGCCUGUCCGUCUGCCACUUUCUGAUGUGCCCAACUAGAAUCACUAAUUCCGAUGAACCCAGGCUAGAUUAAUUUUAAUUUCCCCAUGCAAAUCAGUGCUAAUUAGGAUGGAUUUAGUUCACAUCACAGGGGCUGUGGGGACGGAAGCUGCAUACGGUCGUCGCUCCCCAGCUGGGCUUUGGGGUGUUUCAGCCUCAUCUGAGGACUGGGGAGGACAGACCCCACGGUCCGGAGGUCAGGGCUGGGGGCAGCCGGGGGGGCAGGGGCUGCUCUGAAAUGCCAGGUCCUACUGAUGGUGCUCAGCACCCCCACACCAGCCAGAAUCCUUCUGACAGCCCUCGUCAGGGACAUCCCCCAGCUGGAGGCAAAUCUGUGCCCCCCUGCAACUCAUCGCUGCCCUUGGUUAACGCCCAGGUGGAUUUUACUGCGCCACUGAGGUCAUGAACAAAACCGAUGGGGCAAACACGAGUUUGGGACCUCUGGAUUGGGCCCACCAGGGGCUGUGAACAAGGAGCCGCCAGCUUGCAUGACUCUGAGUUAGGCAGCAAAGUGGGGUGGCUGGGGGUCUCUGGGGACCCCUCCUCACCAGCAUCCUUUCCCGUGCAGACCCAGGGCUCCUUGGUGGGCUGUGGGGGCCGCAGCAGGCGUGAGCUGCUCCCAGCAGGACCAGAUCGUCCCUGGAUGCCUGGGGUCUGCUCUGCUGCAGGCAGUGGGGCAGGGGGCAGCGCAUUGUCCCCUCCAGCUUGUUCAGAUUCUUCCUGUGCCUUCUGCCUUGCCAAAUAUUUAACUAAUUAACACUGCCUGCAGGCUCCUGUUUACGCAGCUUGUUGUUGAGCCGAGGAAGACUCCCGGAUGCCUCAGAGCACGGAGGGUGCCAAAUUGCAGCCAGGACCACGGGCGUGAGGCUCAGCCUCCAGCCCUCUCACCUGGGCUCUCCCCACCUUGGAGAGCCCCCGCAAUGCCUGGAGCAGCCCCCGCCGGCACCCUGCGCACCGGGCAGGGGGGAGGCACCUCCUGGCUGCAUCCCACAGCCCCGGCUUUACUCCAUCUGCCCCUCAGCGGGGCGUUCUCAGCCCUAGCAGCCUUUUUGCCAGACCCCAGGUGAGGAAAAGCAGCGCAAGUGGCCCCUCCGUGGUUUCCUGUCUCCAGGGGGUGCAACCUCACCCCCUGGGCUGGGGGAAAACAGCAUCAGGAUGCCCCAGUCCUAUCAGCUCCGGCAUGGUGGACAUGGGUGGCAGAGUAGGAACCUGUGGAGGGUGACUGGGGGCUGAGCUGGGGGCCACAGCAUGGGGCAGAGGUGGGGGCUGAGGGGGGCAGCAGAAUGAGCCCUGCCAGGGGCCCCGUGCAAACACCCGAGCAGUCUAGGCAGGCUGAGGCCAGAGCGGCUGCGACAAACAGCCAGAGGCAGCGCCUGCCUCCUGCCCUCAUUAAAUCCCCCCUAACGAGCUCAGCACCAAGCCCUGGGGCCUGGCUGGACUCAGAGCCGGUCAUUACUGCUGACAAGGAGCUGUCAGAGUGGAGCUGCGGCCCCCAACCUCCCCCCUGCACAGGAGCACAGCCAGGGGACACCCCAGGGCAGGGAGCACCCUGGAGCCAGAGACACCCCUCCCUUUGGAGGGUCCCCACAGCCCUCAAUGCCACAGGAUUGAGAACAAUCCUCUGAUCAUCGCAUCAGCCCAGCUGGAGGAGAAGGUUCAGGCAGAGCCACACAGGCGGGGGGCACUGGGGGCCAGGCCUCCUGGUUGGGGACAAGCAGUGGACAGGCUGUGGGGUGCCCACGCAGCCCUGGGACCCCCGCUUCCAGCUGUGCUGCCUGGGGCUCGCUGCCUGCAGGAUGGUGCGUUGGGGCCCCAUCCCCUCCCUGCCGGGGCUGCUCUCCUGGGAUGAUGUAUGGAUCCAGCACGAGAGCAGCGGUACCUCAAUUAAUUUUGAGCCUCGCAAGGACUCCUGACCUUUUGUGAGACGUACAGAGAAAUUGAGGUGAUUAAUCUAGCAGGUCAGGGUGGCUCCUCCACUCUGACAUUCCCCACGUGACGCAUGGGGUGGGGUGGGGAGCAGACCCCCUUCGUCUAACCCAGCUGCAGAGGGUUUAGCAGUGGGACACUGGCUGUCCCCCCACCAGCAGAGUCACUGCCCCUGUGUGUCACAUCUGGGUCACAACCAGGCUGCAAGCUAAUGGGGAGCACGAGCACACCCUGACCUUGUGCCUUGCAGCCACAGCGUGUUACGAGCACGCAGACCGGUGUGUGCAGCCAGUGGGUGAGCAUGGCCACCUGGCAGCAUCCAUCCCUCCCACGCGGGAUGGCCGUGGCACUCAGCCCCUUGCCCCGUUAGGUGCCAGCAGCCCCCCAGCCCUCCCCUCCUCUGCCUGCAUCACUCUUGCCAGGGACCCACACCCCUGAGCCCGGAGUGGCUGCAGGGAGCACCUGGACAGCCAGGAUGCACAUGUGGUGCUGGGGGGGGGAAUCACCUUUUAAUUUCAUAUUAACUGCUGAUCAAUCCAAUUAGAGCCUGCAUGUAAUGAAGGCCAUCUGCUUGGGAGGUGGGGCCCCAGCUCUGCCUCCCCACCCCAAAACGUGCGCAGCCUCCCGGGAAGUCCAUGGCUGCUGGCAGGGAAGGGGCCUGGGGGUAGGUUGGGGGGGCGAUGAAAGGGUUUUACCCAAUUUUCCAGAUGACUCUAAUUAAGUUGUUCUCUUCAGCUGUUAAAUUAGCUGGAGCCCUACCCCUUCCCUGGGUGGUUCCCCCCUUCUCCUCCCUACUUCCCAGAUGCAGCAAA